AAUACGUAGGUGGCAAGCGUUGUCCGGAUUUACUGGGCGUAAAGAGCGCGCAGGCGGUCGUGCAAGUCGCGUGUGAAAGCCCCCGGCUCAACUGGGGAGGGUCACGCGAUACUGCUCGACUCGAAGGCAGGAGAGGGAAGUGGAAUUCCCGGUGUAGUGGUGAAAUGCGUAGAUAUCGGGAGGAACACCAGUGGCGAAGGCGACUUCCUGGCCUGUUCUUGACGCUGAGGCGCGAAAGCUAGGGUAGCAAACGG
rnacentral:rRNA from 1 species